CAAGCGGAUGUAUAAUUUGAUGUUGAGAUCGGAUGUUGUAAGGCACGUUUGUGAGAGAUAACUGCCACGUUAACAUGAAAUUGAUGGAAAACAAACAGAUGAUCUCAGCCUUUCCUCCAUGCCGGCCAAGGCACGGCGAGUUCCCAACCUUCGGACACAACUAGCAGCAUUUUUCCCUUGAGCUGGUCGCCCUUCUUUGCCGCUCAAAUCACCGUCGCGCUGGUAGGAGAGGGUGCCGGACAACUUGAUUUCGGUAUCUUCACAUCAUCUCCGGCGGGUUUGGUGGAGGAGAUUGGUCAAGGCUUUUCUCAACUCCAAAGCAAGGAUUGACACUGAGGCUAUACUUUCUUUAUAAACUAGAAGGAUUGUUUAUUUAUUACAAUACACUAAUCAGGAUGAUGUCACUGCCAUUCAAAUUGGUUUUAUUGCUGUCCUUGCUUUCUUUAAAUUUGAUCCCUUCACACUCAGCUGUAGUGAGCAUAGAUCUAGGCUCAGAAUGGAUGAAAGUAGCUGUUGUGAACCUAAAACCGGGGCAGUCCCCAAUUUCCAUUGCAAUCAAUGAGAUGUCAAAGAGGAAAUCCCCAGAGCCAAGAAAUGAUAUUCAAUUGAUGUUUUUUUCCACUGCUGUGAUAAUUGAUUAGUUGAGAUAAAACAAUAUUAUAAUUCAAUAGAGCCAAUAAAUGAUAUUCAAUUGAUUUUUUUU